UGGGGAAUUUUGGACAAUGGGCGCAAGCCUGAUCCAGCCAUGCCGCGUGCAGGAAGAAGGCCUUCGGGUUGUAAACUGCUUUUGUACGGAGCGAAAAGCCCCUGGCGAAUAACCGGGGGUCAUGACGGUACCGUAAGAAUAAGCGCCGGCUAACUACGUGCCAGCAGCCGCGGUAAUACGUAGGGUGCAAGCGUUAAUCGGAAUUACUGGGCGUAAAGCGUGCGCAGGCGGUUUUGUAAGACAGAGGUGAAAUCCCCGGGCUCAACCUGGGAACUGCCUUUGUGACUGCAAAGCUGGAGUGCGGCAGAGGGGGAUGGAAUUCCGCGUGUAGCAGUGAAAUGCGUAGAUAUGCGGAGGAACACCGAUGGCGAAGGCAAUCCCCUGGGCCUGCACUGACGCUCAUGCACGAAAGCGUGGGGAGCAAACA
rnacentral:rRNA from 1 species